rnacentral:misc_RNA from 1 species
UUUCCGUAGGUGAACCUGCGGAAGGAUCAUUACCGAGUUAGGGUGCCUCGUCGCGCCCGACCUCCAACCCUUUGCUUACUUGACCUAUUUUGUUGCUUCGGCAGGCCCGCCGCCCGGAAACGGGUGGCCGCCGGGGGCGUUUCACCGCCCCGGGCCCGCGCCUGUCGAUGGCCCUAUUAAAACUCUUGUCGAAACGUGUCGUCUGAGUUUAUCUAAACAAAUACAAACCAAAACUUUCAACAACGGAUCUCUUGGUUCUG